UAGAUUCAUAAUCAACUGGUUCUGUUAUCAUUUGCAUUCUACCAUGGUUGCUGCAAUAGUAACCUCAUUCUAUUAUUACAGUCAUGAAGUGUAACAACCCGACUUUAAUUAAAAUAAGUAAUAUUAAUUAGAAAUGGUGAUUGAAGUUACUCGAAGAAUUAUUGAUCAAAGUAUGAGAUAGUUCAAAGGCAUAAACAUGUUUUAGUAAUAAGUUGGAGGGUAUAGUGGACAAGUAUCAUUACUAGUAAGACUAGUAUUACAGGUAUGUAUUGGGAGGAAGCAAACAUCAGUAUAGUGAAGACCCAUUCCCUUCUUUCUUCUCUGUCCGUUCAUUCCCUUUCUUAACUCCACCCCACACAAAAAUCCAAAUCUCAACCAAAGAGAAAUGCAUGUGUAGCUUCAGAUUCAUUUGCCCUUCUUCAUGAACUCACCUUUCCCUUGUUUUUCUCUCUCUCUCAGGCAACGUGAUUCUCUCCUCUCCACACCUUGAACCAGUUUCAUGUGCUCUCAUGGCCAAAGGGUUGCAUGUGUUGGAAACAAUCUUAAUCUGCUGGUUUUGAGUAUUAAAAGCUAAGUGUUAGGGAACUGAUUGAAAUGGAGAAAAGAAUUGAAGGUCGGAGCUUGGAAGGACUGUUGAUGGAACAAGAAAACAAGAGGAAUUGCUUAAGUUGUGUAAAAUCCGUAUUUGGGACAGGGCUCCACUCAAACGAGUUAUAUUGAGGUCUAGGCAUGAUUUCGAAGUGGAGGGUCUGAAGCUGAGUUUGUGCAGGAAUAUGGACUGUUCGUGAAGGCAUGCUUUCGAAUUUUGGCUUUAUCAAUGCUUAGCAAUGCAUUUAAUGCUCUGUAAUUCAUAUACUGAUUAGUUUAAAUGUAAAUUAUAUUUGGAUUUGAAGAUAUCCAUUGUAUUCUAGUAACUUGUAAAGAGAUUUGAGUAGCAUAUUUUCUAACCAAUACUUUUGUAUGGUACCUCUUCGAAUGUCUUAUGUGGUGUUUAAUUAUAAUCAAUGAAAUUUGUUGGCUCUUUUUUUUUU